ACCAUUAUCGAAUGAUCAAAACCUAUUACCAUACCAAAAAAAAGUUUCAAGCACUGUUAACUUGCACAUAAGUAAGUUUUGGCAUUCCGGUUAAAAUGCCACCACUAACACAAAAGUAAAAAAAUGCUUUCUAAUUUGAGUGAACUGAACAUUAUUAAUACUUAGUUACUUACCAUAUUUGGAAUGAUUCAGGA